UUUCCGGUUGAUCCUGCCGGACCUGACUGCUAUCGGAUUGAUACUAAGCCAUGCGAGUCAUUGUAGCAAUACAAGGCAGACGGCUCAGUAACGCGUAGUCAACCUACCCUAUGGACGGGAAUAACCUCGGGAAACUGAGAAUAAUGCCCGAUAGAACACUAUGCCUGGAAUGGUUUGUGUUCCAAAUGAUUUAUCGCCGUAGGAUGGGACUGCGUCCUAUCAGUUUGUUGGUGAGGUAAUGGCCCACCAAGACUAUUACAGGUACGGGCUCUGAGAGGAGUGGCCCGGAGAUGGGUACUGAGACACGGACCCAGGCCCUAUGGGGCGCAGCAGGCGAGAAAACUUUGCAAUGUGCGAAAGCACGACAAGGUUAAUCCGAGUGGUUUCUGCUAAAGGAACCUUUUGUUAGUCCUAGAAACACUGACGAAUAAGGGGUGGGCAAGUUCUGGUGUCAGCCGCCGCGGUAAAACCAGCACCUCAAGUGGUCAGGAUGAUUAUUGGGCCUAAAGCAUCCGUAGCCUGCUUUGUUAGUUUUCGGUUAAAUCUGUACGCUCAACGUACAGGCUGCCGGGAAUACUGCAAAGCUAGGGAGUGGGAGAGGUAGACGGUACUCGGUAGGAAGGGGUAAAAUCCUUUGAUCUAUUGAUGACCACCUGUGGCGAAGGCGGUCUACCAGAACACGUCCGACGGUGAGGGAUGAAAGCUGGGGGAGCAAACCGGAUUAGAUACCCGGGUAGUCCCAGCUGUAAACCAUGCAAACUCAGUGAUGCGUUGGCUUGUGGCCAAUGCAGUGCUGCAGGGAAGCCGUUAAGUUUGCCGCCUGGGAAGUACGUACGCAAGUAUGAAACUUAAAGGAAUUGGCGGGGGAGCACCACAAGGGGUGAAGCCUGCGGUUCAAUUGGAGUCAACGCCGGAA
rnacentral:rRNA from 1 species